rnacentral:rRNA from 1 species
AUGCAUGUNUAAGUAUAAGCAGAUUAUACGGCGAAACUGCGAAUGGCUCAUUAAAUCAGUUAUCGUUUAUUUGAUAGUACCUUAUUACUUGGAUAACCGUGGUAAUUCUAGAGCUAAUACAUGCUAAAAAUCCCGACUCACGAAGGGAUGUAUUUAUUAGAUUAAAAACCAAUGCCCCUCGGGGCUUUCAGGUGAUUCAUAAUAACUUCUCGAAUCGCAUGGCCUUGCGCCGGCGAUGGUUCAUUCAAAUUUCUGCCCUAUCAACUUUCGAUGGCAGGGUCUUGGCCUGCCAUGGUUACAACGGGUAACGGAGGGUUAGGGCUCGACCCCGGAGAAGGAGCCUGAGAAACGGCUACUACAUCCAAGGAAGGCAGCAGGCGCGCAAAUUACCCAAUCCCGACACGGGGAGGUAGUGACAAUAAAUACUGAUACAGGGCUCUUUUGGGUCUUGUAAUUGGAAUGAGUACAAUUUAAAUCCCUUAACGAGGAACAAUUGGAGGGCAAGUCUGGUGCCAGCAGCCGCGGUAAUUCCAGCUCCAAUAGCGUAUAUUAAAGUUGUUGCAGUUAAAAAGCUCGUAGUUGAACCUUGGGCCUGGCUGGCCGGUCCGCCUCACCGCGUGCACUGGUUCGGCCGGGCCUUUCCCUCUGGGGAGCCCUAUGCCCUUCACUGGGUGUAGUGGGGAACCAGGACUUUUACUGUGAAAAAAUUANAGUGUUCAAAGCAGGCAUAUGCUCGAAUACAUCAGCAUGGAAUAAUAGAAUAGGACGUGUGGUUCUAUUUUGUUGGUUUCUAGGACCGCCGUAAUGAUUAAUAGGGACAGUCGGGGGCAUCAGUAUUCAAUUGUCAGAGGUGAAAUUCUUGGAUUUAUUGAAGACUAACUACUGCGAAAGCAUUUGCCAAGGAUGUUUUCAUUAAUCAGGAACGAAAGUUAGGGGAUCGAAGACGAUCAGAUACCGUCGUAGUCUUAACCAUAAACUAUGCCGACUAGGGAUCGGACGAUGUUAUUUUUUGACUCGUUCGGCACCUUACGAGAAAUCAAAGAGUGGAGCCUGCGGCUUAAUUUGACUCAACACGGGGAAACUCACCAGGUCCAGACACAAUGAGGAUUGACAGAUUGAGAGCUCUUUCUUGAUUUUGUGGGUGGUGGUGCAUGGCCGUUCUUAGUUGGUGGAGUGAUUUGUCUGCUUAAUUGCGAUAACGAACGAGACAUUUACCUGCUAAAUAGCCCGUAUUGCUUUGGCAGUACGCUGGCUUCUUANAGGGACUAUCCGCUUAAGCGGGUGGAAGUUGGAUGCAAUAACAGGUCUGUGAUGCCCUUANAUGUUCUGGGCCGCACGCGCGUUACACUGACAGAGACAGCGAGUACUUCCUUANUAGAGAUACUUGGGUAAUCUUGUUAAACUCUGUCGUGCUGGGGAUAGAGCAUUGCAAUUAUUGCUCUUCAACGAGGAAUUCCUANUAAGCGUAAGUCAUCAACUUGCGUUGAUUACGUCCCUGCCCUUUGUACACACCGCCCGUCGCUACUACCGAUUGAAUGGCUCANNGAGGCUUCCCGACUGGCCCACAGGAGCCNGCNACGACNCCUCANGGCCGGAAAGCUAUCCAAACUCNGUCAUUUUACAGGAA